AUGCUUGCAUCAGUUCAUCUAUGGCAUCGUCGGCUUGGCCAUCCUAAUAAAGCUACACUGUCAUCAUUGUUACAGGAAUUUAGUAUCCCUAGUUCUAGUGUCCCUCAUGAUUCCUCUCUUUGUAAUGCCUGUCAAUGUGGCAAACAUGUUAGAUUACCUUUUGGUACAUCCUCUACUAUUAGUACUUUUCCUUUUGAAUUGCUACAUUGUGAUCUAUGGACAUCUCCAAUUCCUAGUGUUUCUGGUUACAAAUACUAUCUUGUAAUUCUUGAUGAUUAUUCCCAUUAUAUUUGGACCUUUCCUCUCCAAGCCAAGUCCGAUGUACACCCAAUUUUUCUCAAUUUUCGUCAGUAUGUUCUCACCCACUUUGGUCUUCCCAUACGCUUUAUUCAAUGUGACAAUGGACGUGAAUUUGAUAAUACUCGCAAUCGCACUUUCUUUCUUUCUCACGGCAUCCUUCUUCGCUUUUCUUGCCCCUAUACAUCUCCUCAAAAUGGCAAAGCAGAACGAUCUCUUUGUUCCAUCAAUGAUAUUCUUCGCACCUUGCUUAUUCAAGCUUCUCUUCCUCCCUGUUUUUGGGUUGAAGCAUUACGCACUGCCACACUUCUUCUCAAUAUUAGACCAACUAAAACAUGUCCUCUCUACACUCCCUUUCAAUCCCUCUUUCUUUCCCAUCCCGACUAUCUUUCUCUUCGCGUUUUUGGUUGUGUCUGUUUUCCCAACAUCACUUCUACAACUUCUCAUAAGCUAGAACUUCGCUCUUUACCCUGCAUUUAUCUUGGUCUCUCCGAUGAUCAUAAGGGCUCUCGCUGCUUUGAUCCCUCCUCCGGUCGUGUCAUUAUUUCUCGUCACGUCGUCUUUGACGAAUAUACUUUUCCCUACGCUGCCACACAAACAUCCUCUACCAUCCCAACCUCCCUCUGUUCAUUCUUCAUCUCCUCUCCUCCCUCGUCUAGCUCCUACCCCUAUUGUCCCGGAGCAACAAUCACCACCACAGCAGCCUUCCACACCGCCCACUUCUCCUUCACCACAGCCUUCCACGCCCACCACUCCUUCUUUGACAGCAGCUUCCUCACCUCCCACGCCUAUAUCCCCAAAUACUGCUUCUCCAUCCUCCACUUCUUCCUCCACAUCGCCUCUUCCAUCUAA
rnacentral:rRNA from 1 species